GACAGAGGGUGCAAACGUUGUUCGGAAUUACUGGGCGUAAAGCGAGUGUAGGCGGUCUGUAAAGUCGGGUGUGAAAGCCCCGGGCUCAACCCGGGAAGUGCACUCGAAACUCACAGGCUAGAGUAUCGGAGAGGUUGGUGGAAUUCUCGGUGUAGAGGUGAAAUUCGUAGAUAUCAGGAGGAACACCAGUGGCGAAGGCGGCUUCCUGGACACCAACUGACGCUGAGACGCGAAAGCGUGGGGAGCAAACAGG
rnacentral:rRNA from 1 species